UAACUGUGGCAAUUCUAGAGCUAAUACAUGCACCAAAGCUCCGACGCUCCUCGGGUGUUUCACGCCUCGCGCGUGCAUUCUUCUCGAGAGCCGAAGGGCGCAGUUAUUAGUAUCGAGAUAAAAACAAACCGAGCGGACUCCGGUUCGCGAAAACCUAUGAAAAAGACGGGUUCGGUUCCUUCUUCCGAUGGAGCUACCGUCGUUUGUCUUGAUGACUCUGAAUAACCCAGCCGAGCGCUCAGGUCACUCUUUAGUACCGGCGCCGUAUCCAUCGAGCGUCUGCCUUAUCAGCUCUCGAUUGUAAGUUAUACGCUUACAAUGGCUGUAACGGGUAACGGGGAAUCAGGGUUCGAUUCCGGAGAGGGAGCCUGAGAAACGGCUACCACAUCUAAGGAAGGCAGCAGGCGCGCAAAUUACCCAAUCCCGGUACGGGGAGGUAGUGACGAAAAAUAACGAUGCGGGACUCUUCCGAGGCCUCGCAAUCGGAAUGAGUCUAUUUUAAAUCCUUAAGACAAGGAUCAAUUGGAGGGCAAGUCUGGUGCCAGCAGCCGCGGUAAUUCCAGCUCCAAUAGCGUAUAUUAAAGUUGCUGCGGUUAAAAAGCUCGUAGUUGGAUUUCGCUUUUCGGUCCGGGGAUCUCCUUCUUCCCGUUAGACGAGUCCGCCAAUUUCGCUCGUCAGUGGCUAUCCGUUCGAUCGGUGACCUGCUUGUGGAUCGUGCGGUUUACAUCUCGGUCGAAGCGGGGUUUGCCUUGGUUAGCCCGAUGUCCCUUAGGGGGUAGCAUGGGGCGCUUCGGCUCUGGGAGGAGAUAUCAUUCCGGUUCCGGAUUGUUAUUGAACCCGUCGACUCUCGAGGGGUGCUCUUGAAUGAGUGCUUCGCGCGUUGUCGACACGUUCACUUUGAGAAAAUUAAGGUGCUUAAAGCGGGUACAUAAACAAGUCGUCGCUCGCACGGGUCUUCGCGACCCGGCGUCUUCGAUAAUACGCCCGAAUGGUGGUGCAUGGAAUGAAGGAAUAGGACCUCGGUUCUAGCCUUAUUUGUUACGAUAUAUCAUUUUUUUUACGUUACUCGGUUUGUUUUCUAUGGAAUCCGAGGUAAUGAUUAACGGGAACUGACGGGGGCCUUGGUACUGCGACGCUAGAGGUGAAAUUCUUGGACCGUCGCAAGACCUCCUACUGCGAAAGCAUUUGCCAAGAAUGUUUUCAUUAAUCAAGAACGAAAGUUAGGGGUUCGAAGGCGAUCAGAUACCGCCCUAGCUCUGACUGUAAACGAUGCUAACUGGCGAUCCGCCCGCGUCAUUCUUUUACGACCGGGCGGGCAGCCCCCGGGAAACCUCAAGUUUUUGAGCUCCGGGGGGAGUAUGGUUGCAAAGCUGAAACUUAAAGGAAUUGACGGAAGGGCACCACCAGGAGUGGAGCCUGCGGCUUAAUUUGACUCAACACGGGGAAACUUACCAGGCCCGGACGCCGGAAGGAUUGACAGAUUAAAARCUCUUUCUCGAUUCGGUGGGUGGUGGUGCAUGGCCGUUCUUAGUUGGUGGAGCGAUUUGUCUGGUUGAUUCCGAUAACGAACGAGAUUCUAUCCUAUUAAAUAGAAGAUCCAUAGUCUCCCGCCUCGCGCGGUUCCUCGAUUCUUCGUCCAACCGACUGCUGUCGGGGCCGGCGUCGAAUGCUAACGGGGGGUUGCCUUGGUGCGGAGCGUGGGUGAAGUCUUCUUAGAGGAAUCGGCGGUUUUACCCAGCCGUAAGAGAGAGAGCGAUAACAGGUCUGUGAUGCCCUUAGAUGUUCUGGGCCGCACGCGCGCUACAAUGCAGGGAUCAACGCGCUUCCCCUCCGAGGGGAGCGGGUAACCGUUUGAAAUCCCUUCUCGAUUGGGAUCGGGGAUUGCAAUUCUUUCCCGUGAACGAGGAAUUCCUAGUAAGCGCGAGUCAUCAGCUCGCGUUGAUUACGUCCCUGCCCUUUGUACACACCGCCCGUCGCUACUACCGAUUGAAUGAUCCAGUGAGGUUAUUGGACUGGCGCUUCCAGUUCUUCGGGACUGUCGAGGUCGACGGAAAGAUAUCCAAACUUGGUCAUUUAGAGGAAGUAAAAGUCG
rnacentral:rRNA from 1 species